rnacentral:rRNA from 1 species
UACGUAGGGACCAAGCGUUGUUCGGAUUUACUGGGCGUAAAGGGCGCGUAGGCGGCCACCGCAAGUCAAUUGUGAAAUCUCCGGGCUUAACUCGGAAAGGUCAACUGAUACUGCGGGGCUAGAGUGCAGAAGGGGCAACUGGGAUUCUCGGUGUAGCGGUGAAAUGCGUAGAUAUCGAGAGGAACACCUGCGGCGAAGGCGGGUUGCUGGGCUGACACUGACGCUGAGGCGCGAAAGCUAGGGGAGCGAACGGG